CAGUCGCCGCGGUAAAACGUAGGUGGCAAGCGUUGUCCGGAAUUAUUGGGCGUAAAGGGCUCGCAGGCGGUUUCUUAAGUCUGAUGUGAAAGCCCCCGGCUCAACCGGGGAGGGUCAUUGGAAACUGGGUAACUUGAGUGCAGAAGAGGAGAGUGGAAUUCCACGUGUAGCGGUGAAAUGCGUAGAGAUGUGGAGGAACACCAGUGGCGAAGGCGACUCUCUGGUCUGUAACUGACGCUGAGGAGCGAAAGCGUGGGGAGCGAACAGGAUUAGAUACCCGUGUAGUCCCUGUCUCUUAUAC
rnacentral:rRNA from 1 species